CAAGGCAGGUCAGCUGCACCUGAAACAGCAGAAUGUGGCAGUUCACUCAGGCCCCUGGAGGUGGACCUCAGCACGUGCGCUGCAUUGAUGGGGAAGGACACAGCCCAGAGUGAACAACAUGAGAAAAGUUACAAUAGAGGAAAAAUACAGGACAGACUCUGGUGACAGGGAGCAAACCACCUCAUGUGAAGCCACUGAGAGAAGCAGAUGACGAGCGCUCGCCAGGUGCUGGGGGGACACACGGUGGCUACCCUGGAGAAGCCUGCUGAGGCUUCAGGCAGGCAGAGUGCAGACUGGCGGCUGCAGCCCUGGCCAGAGGUGCAGCGAAGGCAUUUGAGAGCAGGCCGCCCACAGGAUGUUGGAAACCACAGGGACCAGGCUUUGCCUUGCGGGCGGCAGCUGUGGUGAAGGUGAUGCACUGGGUGUCCAGGAAGUCCAGCAGCUUCCCCGUGGCCACAUGGAUGCCUUGAUGCUUCAGCUCGGCCUGUAGCUCUGCCAGCUCCAAGGGCUGGUACAGCAGGACCUUGCGGUAGAGGGCUGGCUUGGAGCAGAUAUAAUGCCUCACGGCCUCCUCUGUGGCCGCUACCUGGAUGGCCGCCUGUGAAGCACUGACACCCUCCUCGUCCUCCUCAUCUUCUCCUGCAGACUCCAAGGCCGCUCCAAAGUCACAGGAAGAACUGAAAAGAACCAGACAAUAACACCUAGCAACACCCCUUCUUUCCGGCCUCCACCCCGAGACCAGGAGCCUCUUUGAGGGAAGGAGUGUGUUUCUUUGUCCCCUGCGGAGCCCGGCACAUGGACGACCCCCAGGGCAGUAGGAAGCCCCAGGCUGCUGUGUCCCUGGCACUCUAGCUGCAGGCCUGAGCGGGAUCGCACCCUCAGCCAGAAUCUAAUGCCGAGGGCAGCUGUGCUAGGCUGGCCCUGCUUGUGAGAGAGGAUGUGGCCCUGUCCUUCCAUCUGGUUACCUUUGUGAGCUGCAGGAGCUGUCACUGCUGUCUACAGAGGUGGCCAUGGAUUCCUGGGAGGCCGGUAGCUGGGUGUCACCAUCAGGGCCUGGAGGGCCCUCCUUGGCUGGUGACGUGCUCAGGGCAGGGACCCUUCCACCAGGCUGUGUCUUUUGAUGUUGGGGGCCCUUGGUCUUAGCAGGUCCCUUGGACCUUUGGGGAACGGAGCCAGAAGUGGCCUCCAGCUGGGUGCGGCCAGCUGCCCUUGAAGGCUUAGAGGUCUUGGUGGUGUAAGUCUGGCUGCAAGGAGCCUCCAAGGGCACCUGUGAGGACUGGCUCUCUUCCUCAGAGUCUGACUCCAGUAUCUGGUGAGUGUACUGGAAUAUCUCCUUCAGUUUCAGGACCAUUUGGCGUUUGGGCAGAGGGCGGACCCCAAACCUGAAUGGGAAAACAGAUGAACAUCAGCAAAGAGCAAACAGGUAUUAACUAAUUAAACUAGUGGCUUUAUGUAACUGAAUCUUAAAUGCCUGACUUAAGAGCAUUCAGAGGUCGGUAUCUAUCCUGCAUACCCACUGAGCUGACUCAGGAAUAUUCCAGAAAGGCCAUUCCCCCUGAGUUCUGAGUGGUGGUGGUAGCAGUGACCUCCCCAGUGUCCAAGGCAAACAGCAGAAUUCAUUGGAAUGUGAGUUUUGAUGUUCUUUUAAAAAAUCAGCUCUCCCUCCUCAAACUGUUAAGGCAAGGGUACCAUUCCCAUCCACAUGGCACAUGGAGACCUGCCACCUGAUGGGUGACCUGGAGGAGUGUCAUUUCUUGGCCCUAAGUCACCUGGGGAACAGUAUGUGGAGAGCUGGGAGUCACGCACGCCCCCCCACCAGCCAGAGGCUCCUGCCACCAGAGCCCAGGGUGCCGUUCUGCUCCCCACUUCACUAAGCCUGGACAUAGGUGCAGGAGGGAGGGUCUGCUCAGAGCAAGCUUUCCAGAACACCACCAACCUGUCCAGUUCUUUCUUCAGCACCGGGGUCUCCAUGAUGGAAUACCUUGGCAUUGGGGUUAUGGGCACUUCGGGGGGCAAGUUCUUCUUCCAGUUAGCACCUUCUGGGUAGAACAAAAGAAACAUACGUUUCAGCACGAGGGCCCUGGAUUUGCCUCUUCUGACCCUGAUAGUGUCACUUAGAGAAGUGCUGCCCUCGCUCCAGGACAGCAGGGAUGUCCACCCUUCACAGUUUGACUCUGGAGUCACAUCUUCCCAUUGGAAAGCAUCACACAGCACGCGGUGAGGGCCACGGGCUUAUGUGGUGCUGAUGCUGUGAAGAGCUCGAAAGCAGAUUCUGACUAAGGUCCCCUGGUCUCAGGUCUCCUGCAGCGGUUCUCACACACCACCUCGGAACCUGUUAGAAAUGCAAAAUCUUGGUUACACAGCAGACCUCCUGAAGCAGCAGCUCUGAGGUAGAGACCGGCCACGUGUGUUUUAAGAAGCUCUGCAGGCAAUUCUGACGCCCACUCAAGGCUGAAAGCACUGGUUAGUGAUGCCCAGCUGGUCUAAGAUUUUAGGGGGACAUGAAAUAGCAGGACACAGGCAGAUGCUCUGCCCAUAGGCUCUGCUUCCCUGUCACCAGUCACGGCUCAGUGUCGCCUGGUCCCUUCCCAGACUCUCCCUGGAUCAGUCCAGCUGGAGGGGAUAGCGGUGGGGCAGCAGCACCUCAAGGGGCCGACACCAACACCGGGGGCCUUGAUUUUCCCCUGUGACUGAAAUGAGCUGGGAAGUGGGGUCCCUCCACCAGUGGGGCCGAUAAGGCUCACAGCAGACCUCCCACACUCACCCCAUCUGGUCUUUUAAUUGAGAUGAAAUUCACGUAACAAAAUUUUAAAGUGAACAGUAGCACUUAGCACAUUCAGUGUUGUGCAACCACCACAUCUUUCUAGUUCUAAAACAUUUCAUCCCCCAAAGAAAGUUCCAUGCUCAUCACUCCCUGUUCUCCUCCCCCCAAGCCCCUGGUGAUCACUCAUCUACUUUCUGUCUCUAUGGCUUUGUCCAUCUGAAUGUUUCAUA